GAUCAUCUGAGCUUUUUUGAGAUAAAUAUUAGCAAGUCUGCACAACUGCAUGAAAUUCUGAUGGAUGCUGGAUUUCUUGAUUCCCUGAUUUUUGUAUUUCCUCCCUUAAAACUAACAUGAAAAAUUAUCUCAGGCAAUGGUAUAUAACAUACAUCAGCCUAGAAUAGUAUGCAUUCAGAUUCUUUAUCUCAGUCCCAAUUUACUUCCCCAGAAGAUUAACAGAGAUAAUAUCCUAUCUGCUCAUUUGCUACUUAGAUUGACCUUGAAAAGACCCUAUCUUCUUAGUUGCUCUGUUGAAUGAGUAAGAUGGCAGCUUCACCAUUUACUACUUCAUAUGUUACUUGCAAUUGAAAAGUGAAUGUAUAUGUGGCCCUUGGUAUUGGCCUUAAGUAAUAGAGAUUGUUCAUGAAGAUAAACCAUGGUGGAGUUCUGGAAAUGAGACUAACCCGUUUAAUUCUGGUAUGCUGCAUAUCAAGUGGAAGGUUGGAGCUUGUUCACAUGUGGAUGGCCCCAUAGGAUGUCAAUCAUUACUGUCAUGAGCAAUGCACAUUAAGGUUGUGGUGACAAUUUAUUUUACUAUGGUUGGUCAGUUGUUCAACACCUUUCUGUCUGAUCCAAGCUUAAUUGCUUUUGCACAACUUCGUUGUGACCCUUCUUGGAAUGGUUUUCAAAACUCUUGUAACUUGUAUGGUUUUUGUUAACAGCUUUUGAAGCUCCUUAGUUGUUUCA